rnacentral:rRNA from 1 species
UACGUAGGUGGCAAGCGUUGUCCGGAUUCAUUGGGCGUAAAGCGCGCGUAGGCGGCUCGGAAAGUCGGUCGUGAAAUGCCGGGGCUCAACCCCGGGACUGCGUCCGAUACUCUCGAGCUGGAGGCAGGUAGGGGAGAUCGGAAUUCCUGGUGUAGCGGUGAAAUGCGCAGAUAUCAGGAGGAACACCGGUGGCGAAGGCGGGACUCUGGGCCGAUACUGACGCUGAGGAGCGAAAGCGUGGGGAGCGAACAGG